rnacentral:misc_RNA from 1 species
AACAACUAAGUCUUAAUCCCAAACUAAUUGGGAUCGGCUAUUUGAAUCCUUGUUCUCUGUUCAACUAUGCUUGAAACCAUUUGGCAUCAAUAUCUAAAAAUCGUAAAUCUUUUGAUACUAUUUUCUUUCACAUCAUUUUUGGUCUUCCAUUUUCCCUUCUCACUCCUUCCACUGUUAACUUAUCACACUUUUGCGUUGGUGCAUAGUGCAUUAGAUGCUUUAUAUUGAACAUGACCAAACCAUCUUAAUUGACCUCUCAUUUUAUCCCUAAUGUAGGCUACAUUUACUUUUUGGUAGAUAUGGUCAUUCCUAAUUAUUCCUAAUCUUAUCCAUUAUUGUGUUACUAGGCAUCUAUCAUUUUUUGAAUACAUUCUACUAACUUUCAUAGCAUUUCUAUGUUUUGAAUUUGGCAAAUUUAUAGAUUCACUGCUGAACUAACUGGGAAAAAUCUAUUGCAUCUCACUCUUCUAUUUGUCCAAUUGCACUAUUUAGAAUUUUUUUUUUUGGUAACCAAUAAGCAUGAUUUAUUUAGUUCAUCAAUGGGUGAUGGGAUAAAUACAUAAAUCUCUUUCUUUCAAUUUAAACUUGAAGAUUUAUUCUGUUAGUCAUUGAUGUCGUCGCAAAAAUAAAACUGUUAAAGGGUACAAGAAGUCAAGAUUCAAGAAUAAAAACACAAGGGUAUAAUAGGUCAGAAGAUUAGGGGUGAAGUAAUUUUUUAAUGAUUAGUUCAGAAUUUUGUGUAAUUGGGCUUCUAGAAUUUUACUUCUUUCAAUGUGAAGAUACGACACAUGCAUAAAACUUAAUAAAUGCAAUUAAUGACAUUCUGCAGAUUUGUUAGCUUUUUUGGCUGAAACCCUAAAAUAAAAAUUUCAGAAAGAAUUAAAAGAAAAAACAAGGACAUUAGAAGAAUGGUGAAAAAGCGCAACUGAUUUAUUUAUGAUAGGGUUUUGGUUGGCUGUUUAAAGUGUAAGAACUGCUGAAUUUCUAAAUCCUUAAGAUGGGACGUAAUGUAAUGGGUUCUUUGAAGCCUAUUGUAUAAUGACCAUGUCAUGUAGCACCCUUUUUUUGAUACCCAGUUUUUUACUGCUUUCGGUGACACAAAAAGAAAAUCUAACAGUAAUUGGUCUUUCACAAUUUUUAUGAGGUUUUAUUAUGUUCAUGAGAUUGACAUCCUAGAAAACUGGAUUAUAGUAGAUGAUGCUUUUUCCAUCUAUGGUAACCAAAAGGUAAUGUGCUUUUUUUUUUUUUUCCUGGUUUCUUUGGAACCCAUUAUGUGGUGACCAUGUUGUGUAGCAUCAUUUUUGGAUAUCUGUUUGGCACUGCUUUUGGUGACCUAAAAAAUUCUUCACCAAAAAAAAAAAAAAAAAAAAA